UGUGCGCCUUGAAGAUGUUUUCCACCUGGACCUGAUGGCUCCACACAGUAUUGAGGUUGAUGCUGACAUGCUGGAAAGAGGCGGAUGCGGUUCCCUGUCUCACUCACAGGAAGCGCCCAUGUGGGAGACACUGCAAGGGCAGCUCUGAGUGACUGAACCCUGAAACAGCCACACCGUGCAUCAGGCAACAAGAAUCAGACCAGACAGUUCAGACUACACAAGUAAGCAAAUUUAUUUUAAGACAGAACAAAUAUUGUGGCAAACAACAAUACGCAAAUUCAGUUGGUAACAGGGGUAAAUAUCAGACUUUGUUUUCAAAUAGAUAUAAAAUAUAUUCAGAUUUUGUUUUGUCCAAAAAGCAGCUCUUCUGGGGGGGGUUGGGAUGGGAAAGGUCUGUCCACACCAUCCAACAGCCCAUGAAGCUCCAGAACCAGCAGUGACUCCUCUGCCAGCAGGGCUGCAUGCAUGGGCUCUCCCCCCACAGGACGGAGGCGCCUGUUGGAACUCCAGCUCCCCUUCAGUAGUUCCCUCCCUUCUGGUAAAAAGCCAAUUCUUGACACAGACUCCACUUUUGGUUGUGGAGGAGUUGGAGCAGCACCGCAGUGCCCACCUACCAGGGGAUGGAGUGGUCACAGGUGUCCUUUUUAGGCACAGGUAAGCAUGCAGAGAGCUGCUGGGGAAGCAGCUUACCUCCAAAGGCAGAGGAGUCACACUGAGUCCUGGCCCCAUGCUCACCAUAGA
rnacentral:lncRNA from 1 species